UACGUAGGUGGCAAGCGUUGUCCGGAAUUAUUGGGCGUAAAGCGCGCGCAGGCGGUCCUUUAAGUCUGAUGUGAAAGCCCACGGCUCAACCGUGGAGGGUCAUUGGAAACUGGGGGACUUGAGUGCAGAAGAGGAGAGUGGAAUUCCACGUGUAGCGGUGAAAUGCGUAGAGAUGUGGAGGAACACCCAGGGGGAAACCAGCCGACUGGGCAUCUACUGACGCUGAGGUGCGAGAGCGUGGGGAGCGAACCGG
rnacentral:rRNA from 1 species